AACUAAAUGUUCUCAUGCAUAUUUACCAGUCCAUUUGUCAUCAUUUGCCACGUAAUGACGCCCAUUGUUGAAGCAAGCCACUUAGCCAGGAAUUCUAAGCUGUCAUCAAUCCUACAGCUGUACUGUAGUAUGCCUGUAGUAGAAAUGGAAUCACAAAUUUCAAUAUCACAGAAAUCUUACUAAUUUUCUUAUCUUGUCUUCCAGAUGCAUGUUUUGUAGAUGGUGAAUCUCAAGUGAAACUAAGAACUUUCAGUCGUCAUUACAUAUAAUUGACUAUCGUUUCCAAUUUUGAUAAUGUUCUCGCCUGAGCUCUCUUCCUUUCUGUAACCCUAUCUUAUCUAUGGGUUAAAAUUGAUACAUUUAGUUUAAUCUUUCAACGUUGUGCCAUAGACCUUGUCCACUGGUGGAAUAGGAUUAUUAUGGCGAGAUAUGUUGAACUUGUUCCAGGUUAAUCUUUCGCCAUUUUGAAACGAUGUGAAGCACUUGAAAUGAAAGAUUAACAGAAGGCGUUAGUUUAUUUUUGCAAAAAUUGUGUCAGACGACUAAAUCAAUUUUUAAUUCAACAAUCUCAUGCAUCUACAAGUUUACUGAUGCAUAUCGUGAUUCUUAAUCAUUAGGCACAUUUUGGCGAGAAUAAACGUAAUUUAAAUAAUU